GACGAACGCUGGCGGCGUGCCUAAUACAUGCAAGUUGAGCGCUGAAGGUUGGUACUUGUACCAACUGGAUGAGCAGCGAACGGGUGAGUAACGCGUGGGGAAUCUGCCUUUGAGCGGGGGACAACAUUUGGAAACGAAUGCUAAUACCGCAUAAAAACUUUAAACACAAGUUUUAAGUUUGAAAGAUGCAAUUGCAUCACUCAAAGAUGAUCCCGCGUUGUAUUAGCUAGUAGGUGAGGUAAAGGCUCACCAAGGCGAUGAUACAUAGCCGACCUGAGAGGGUGAUCGGCCACAUUGGGACUGAGACACGGCCCAAACUCCUACGGGAGGCAGCAGUAGGGAAUCUUCGGCAAUGGACGAAAGUCUGACCGAGCAACGCCGCGUGAGUGAAGAAGGGUUUCGGAUCGUAAAACUCUGUUGGUAGAGAAGAACGUCGGUGAGAGUGGAAAGCUCAUCAAGUGACGGUAACUACCCAGAAAGGGACGGCUAACUACGUG
rnacentral:rRNA from 1 species